GGGGGAUUAACUCAGUGGGAGAGUGCUAUCUUCACACGGUAGAAGUCAUUGGUUCGAACCCAAUAUUCCCCACCA
rnacentral:tRNA from 1 species